rnacentral:rRNA from 1 species
AUGCAAGUCGAGCGGUAGCACAGAGAGCUUGCUCUCGGGUGACGAGCGGCGGACGGGUGAGUAAUGUCUGGGAAACUGCCUGAUGGAGGGGGAUAACUACUGGAAACGGUAGCUAAUACCGCAUAACGUCGCAAGACCAAAGUGGGGGACCUUCGGGCCUCAUGCCAUCAGAUGUGCCCAGAUGGGAUUAGCUAGUAGGUGGGGUAACGGCUCACCUAGGCGACGAUCCCUAGCUGGUCUGAGAGGAUGACCAGCCACACUGGAACUGAGACACGGUCCAGACUCCUACGGGAGGCAGCAGUGGGGAAUAUUGCACAAUGGGCGCAAGCCUGAUGCAGCCAUGCCGCGUGUGUGAAGAAGGCCUUCGGGUUGUAAAGCACUUUCAGCGGGGAGGAAGGCGAUAAGGUUAAUAACCUUGUCGAUUGACGUUACCCGCAGAAGAAGCACCGGCUAACUCCGUGCCAGCAGCCGCGGUAAUACGGAGGGUGCAAGCGUUAAUCGGAAUUACUGGGCGUAAAGCGCACGCAGGCGGUCUGUCAAGUCGGAUGUGAAAUCCCCGGGCUCAACCUGGGAACUGCAUUCGAAACUGGCAGGCUAGAGUCUUGUAGAGGGGGGUAGAAUUCCAGGUGUAGCGGUGAAAUGCGUAGAGAUCUGGAGGAAUACCGGUGGCGAAGGCGGCCCCCUGGACAAAGACUGACGCUCAGGUGCGAAAGCGUGGGGAGCAAACAGGAUUAGAUACCCUGGUAGUCCACGCCGUAAACGAUGUCGAUUUGGAGGUUGUGCCCUUGAGGCGUGGCUUCCGGAGCUAACGCGUUAAAUCGACCGCCUGGGGAGUACGGCCGCAAGGUUAAAACUCAAAUGAAUUGACGGGGGCCCGCACAAGCGGUGGAGCAUGUGGUUUAAUUCGAUGCAACGCGAAGAACCUUACCUGGUCUUGACAUCCACAGAACUUAGCAGAGAUGCUUUGGUGCCUUCGGGAACUGUGAGACAGGUGCUGCAUGGCUGUCGUCAGCUCGUGUUGUGAAAUGUUGGGUUAAGUCCCGCAACGAGCGCAACCCUUAUCCUUUGUUGCCAGCGGUCAGGCCGGGAACUCAAAGGAGACUGCCAGUGAUAAACUGGAGGAAGGUGGGGAUGACGUCAAGUCAUCAUGGCCCUUACGACCAGGGCUACACACGUGCUACAAUGGCAUAUACAAAGAGAAGCGACCUCGCGAGAGCAAGCGGACCUCAUAAAGUAUGUCGUAGUCCGGAUUGGAGUCUGCAACUCGACUCCAUGAAGUCGGAAUCGCUAGUAAUCGUAGAUCAGAAUGCUACGGUGAAUACGUUCCCGGGCCUUGUACACACCGCCCGUCACACCAUGGGAGUGGGUUGCAAAAGAAGUAGGUAGCUUAACCUUCGGGAGGGCGCUUACCACU